rnacentral:rRNA from 1 species
GGCCAGACUCCUACGGGGGGCAGCAGUGGGGAAUAUUGCACAAUGGGGGAAACCCUGAUGCAGCGACGCCGCGUGAGUGAAGAAGUAUUUCGGUAUGUAAAGCUCUAUCAGCAGGGAAGAAGUUGACGGUACCUGAGUAAGAAGCCCCGGCUAACUACGUGCCAGCAGCCGCGGUAAUACGUAGGGGGCAAGCGUUAUCCGGAUUUACUGGGUGUAAAGGGAGCGUAGACGGCAGUGCAAGUCUGAAGUGAAAGCCCCGGGCUUAACCCGGGAAUUGCUUUGGAAACUGUACGGCUGGAGUGCUGGAGAGGUAAGCGGAAUUCCUAGUGUAGCGGUGAAAUGCGUAGAUAUUAGGAGGAACACCAGUGGCGAAGGCGGCUUACUGGACAGUAACUGACGUUGAGGCUCGAAAGCGUGGGGAGCAAACAGGAUUAGAUACCCCCGUAU